rnacentral:rRNA from 1 species
GAUGAACGCUGGCGGCGUGCCUAACACAUGCAAGUCGAACGGACAGACCCUGCUUUUGUGCCGUGCUCGAUUGGCGAACGCGUGAGUAACACGCGAGUAACCUGUACCUGUCUUUGUGAUAACUCCACGAAACUGCGGCUCAUAUCGGAUAUGAGAUCCUGCUCCACAGUGGGCGUUGGAAAGUUUCGGCGGUUGGGGAUGGACUCGCGGCUUAUCCGCCUGUUGGUGGGGUAGUGGCUUACCAAGGUUAUGAAGGCUAGGCGGCAUGGGAGGGUGACCGGCCACAUUGGGACUGAGAGACGGACCAGACUCGUACGGGAGGCAGCAGUGGGGAAUAUUGCACAAUGAGCGGAAGCCUGAUGCAACAACGCCGCGUGCGUGAUGACGGGCUUCGGGUUGUAAACCGCUUUCGCCUGUGACGAAGCGUGAGUGACGGUAAUGGGUAAAAAAGCACCGGCUAACUACGUG